rnacentral:RNase_P_RNA from 1 species
UUGGAAGGGCGGAGGACCGCUUCCGGCGCGAGCCGGGGGAGGAAAGUCCGAACACCACAGGGCGCGAUGCCGCGUAACCUGUAGCCGCCGACGUAAGGAGGCGGAAAUGGGAUAUAUGCAGGCGGCCAGGCCGCGAGGCCUGCCGACGGACAGUGCCACAGAAACUUAAACCGCCUGGAGCUGUAGCGGCGGUCUACGACCGCCGGUUUCAGUUUGGGUAAGGGUGAAAAGGUGGGGUAAGAGCCCACCGCUCCAAGCGCAAGCGCGGAGGCACGGAAAACCCCAUCGGGUGCAAGGCCAAAUAGGGGACCGCGGAGCGGCCCGCUCCAUGCCCAGAGUGGGACAGGCGUCUCGCCUGUCGCGGGAAGAAAAGACAGGCUGGAAGCCUGUCCCACUUUGCGGUCAGGUCCCGGGUACUGGCUGCUCAGACAAAUGGUUCUCUCCGUCCCGCAAGGGACGCAGACAGAAUUCGGCUUACAGCCCUUCCAAAAUC